rnacentral:rRNA from 1 species
AGAGUUUGAUCAUGGCUCAGGACGAACGCUGGCGGCGCGCCUCAUACAUGCAAGUCGAGCGUGAACUCGGGCUUCGGCCUGGGGGAAAGCGGCGAACGGGUGCGUAACACGUGAGCAACCUGCCCCGAAGACCGGGACAAGCCGGGGAAACCUGGUCUAAUACCGGAUGCCCUCUUCCGACCGCAUGAUUGGACGAGGAAAUGGAUUCCGCUUCGGGAUGGGCUCGCGGCCUAUCAGCUUGUUGGUGGGGUAACGGCCUACCAAGGCGACAACGGGUAGCUGGUCUGAGAGGACGAUCAGCCACACUGGGACUGAGACACGGCCCAGACUCCUACGGGAGGCAGCAGUAGGGAAUCUUGCUCAAUGGGCGAAAGCCUGAAGCAGCGACGCCGCGUGCGGGAUGAAGGCCUUCGGGUUGUAAACCGCUUUCAGCAGGGACGAAAUUGACGGUACCUGCAGAAGAAGGCCCGGCCAACUACGUGCCAGCAGCCGCGGUAAUAC